AAUCCCACAUUCUAUAUCUUUGAGCAAGAGAGAACUGGGAUCUAGUGUUGUUGCUAAGGCAGGGGUUCUUAAUCAUGAUCUCUGCAUAAUCAUGAUCUCUGAAAUUGCAUAUCAAAUUCUACAUUUAUGUUCACUUUUCUGCGGUAGUCUGUUAGUUGUACCUAGUUCUUAAAGCACUGUGCCCCAAACCCACUCUACCCUUUAAUAUGGUUUUAGUUAUAUAGCAGUAUCUGUUGUCAGUAUUCUGAGUCCACAGUGUGUCUGGCAUUUUAACAUCUGGUUAAAAAAGAUUGAACAGAGUCUUCACUGAGCUAAGUGUAUUGAUACUAGUGUGGAACCAGGAGGUGAUGAUGAUAAAAUGGCUAAGAUGGUCGUAAACCCCCCUGUACUCAAGGAAUUAUGUUCUAGACUCUAGAAAGUGUAGAGGAUUAACUAACAGCAAGAAACUUCUAACAUCCAGUGUUAAUGGAUUAAAUUUUGACCUAGGUACAUUCAGGACUCUUUCUCCUGGAGGAAUUUACUUACAUAGAGUUUGAUUUGAAAGAGGCAUGAUUGUUAACAGGCUCGACUAUCGAUGAUAUUAAACACAUUGGUGUGCAUCUCUCCUUCUGGAAUGUAACUGAGGCCCAGGAAGAGUUGGGACAGACCAAGUUACCUGUCUUGCAUAAUUAUUACCACCUGGUCAGAGGGUCCAUUCUUUGAAUAAGUAGAAAAUGGUGUGAUUCUUGCCUUUCAGCAAGUCCUGCUAGUUGUCAGAGUUAACAUACUACAGUUGAAUAUUUAAUGACCAAGGAUGAAUCUGGAACCUUAGGAAGCAUUGAAAUACUAUUAACUAGAAUUGGAACCAUUAACUGUACCAGAGAGGCUUCCUGGUACAGUAGGAAGAGCACUGGACUGGGACCUUUAUCUGCGUCAUCUUGGACAAGUUAUUAUUUCACUUUUCUGAGCCUCAGGUUCCUUGUUCAUCCCAAACAUUUGUUAAGUAUCUGGUAGGUGCCUAAUACUAUGCUUGGGUCUGAAGUUACAAAAAUGGCUCCUUUCUCACAAUCUAGUGAGAAAGACAGACAAUUCUAAAAUGACGUGGUAAGUGCUUGGGUAGGGAAAAUACACAGUGCUGUAGAAAAAGAGGAGGGAGUGGGGGUAGCAUCAAAGAAAGUUUUUCAAAAGAGGUAGUAUUUUAGAUUAAGUCUUGUAAGAGUAAGUUUGAGUGUUUCAGGUGGACAAAAAAAGGCAAUAUAGUCUGAUGAUUCAAAGCCUAGAUUUGCGAGACAGGUAAUUU